CCCUACGGGACGCAGCAGUGGGGGAUAUUGCACAAUGGGGGAAACCCUGAUGCAGCGACGCCGCGUGGGUGAAGAAGCGCCUCGGCGCGUAAAGCCCUGUCAGCAGGGAAGAAAAUGACGGUACCUGAAGAAGAAGCCCCGGCUAACUACGUGCCAGCAGCCGCGGUAAUACGUAGGGGGCAAGCGUUAUCCGGAUUUACUGGGUGUAAAGGGGGCGCAGACGGCGAUGCAAGCCAGGAGUGAAAGCCCGGGGCCCAACUCCGGGACUGCUUUUGAAACUGUGUUGCUAGAUUGCAGGAGAGGUA
rnacentral:rRNA from 1 species